UGGCGGCGGUGGCGGACGGGAUGAAGGCGUGGGAGGUCAUGCGGGGCCGCGCGUACGCCUUCGACCUCGUGCUCACGGAGGUCAACAUGCCCACGCUCUCCGGAAUCGACCUGCUCUCCAGGAUCGUCGCGGCUGACGAGUGCAAGAACAUCCCCGUUAUAAGUAAGACGCCGGCGUCCGACUAACGCUUCAUAUCAGCUUGAGUAUCAUCAGUGGCGUAAGGCUCAGGACGAUCUGGCAAACGUACUCGAUUUCGCUAUCUAGCAGCUGCUUUAAGCAGGGGAUUCAGCGCAUAUUUUUAUAUGCUAAUUGCUUAACCGUGUAGGCUGGUUUUUGUGUGUGUCUAUGGUCAUACUGCUCCUGGAUAAUCGGAACCAACUUCAAAUGGAUUUGGCGAUCUGCUUUAGUCCCGUGCCGGCUACUUUUAGUCAGUGUCUGUCUCUGCUCUCAGUUGUAACUGAAUUACCGUUGUCAUUGUCGGAUUCUGCUCGAGUAUUGCUAUGGGUAUGCUCCACGUGUCGUGUUUCUGAAUCUUUUUAACUAAUUUGUCUUGUGCGGUAUCUCUUGAUGAAUAAAUUGGCAGCUUAAUUUUGGUGCAAUUUAGGGGAUCAGAGCAAGUUUUUUUGGCAGAAUGACAAUGGUAGUUAUGAGUACUUUUUAAGCGAAUUGUCAUUAAAAAUAUGUUUGAUUGGGAUUGAAGGUCUAACUUUACAUGGGCACACUUUUAAUAGGUAAAUGGAUAUUUUGAGGUCCUAAUUAGGUACUUGAACUAAAACCAUGACACUUAUUAUGGAUCGGAGGGAGUAGCUUAAUUGAGGAACCAUACUAUUUCAUAAUGUGAACAAAUGCCUAUAAAUGGAUAUUUUUCUAUGCUAAUUGCUUAAUUGUAGUUGGCUGAUUUUCUUUUGUUGUCUAUAUGGUCACAUAUGGUACUGCUCCUGGAUAAUUGGAGCUAAAUUCAUAUAGAUUUGGCGAUCUGCUUUAGUCCCAUGUCGGCUACUUUUAGUCAGUGUCUGUCUCUGCUCUUAGUUGUAACUGAAUCACCGUUGUCAUUGUCGGAUUCCGCUCGAGUAUCGCUAUGGGUAUGCUUCACGUGUUGUGUUUCUGAAUCUUU
rnacentral:lncRNA from 1 species